rnacentral:rRNA from 1 species
GUGGGGAAUAUUGGACAAUGGGCGAAAGCCUGAUCCAGCCAUGCCGCGUGUGUGAAGAAGGUCUUCGGAUUGUAAAGCACUUUAAGUUGGGAGGAAGGGCAGUAAGUUAAUACCUUGCUGUUUUGACGUUACCGACAGAAUAAGCACCGGCUAACUUCGUGCCAGCAGCCGCGGUAAUACGAAGGGUGCAAGCGUUAAUCGGAAUUACUGGGCGUAAAGCGAGCGUAGGUGGUUUUGUAAGUUGGAGGUGAAAUCCCCGGGCUCAACCUGGGAACUGCCUCCAAAACUGCAGGACUAGAGUAAGGUAGAGGGUAGUGGAAUUUCCUGUGUAGCGGUGAAAUGCGUAGAUAUAGGAAGGAACACCAGUGGCGAAGGCGACUACCUGGACUGAUACUGACACUGAGGUGCGAAAGCGUGGGGAGCAAACAGGAUUAGAAACCCGGGUAGUCC